AGCGAACGCUGGCGGCAGGCCUAACACAUGCAAGUCGAACGAACCCUUCGGGGUUAGUGGCGGACGGGUGAGUAACACGUGGGAACGUGCCUUUAGGUUCGGAAUAACUCAGGGAAACUUGUUCUAAUACCGAAUGUGCCCUUCGGGGGAAAGAUUUAUCGCCUUUAGAGCGGCCCGCGUCUGAUUAGCUAGUUGGUGAGGUAAUGGCUCACCAAGGCUACGAUCAGUAGCGGGUCUGAGAGGAUGACCAGCCACAUUGGGACUGAGACACGGCCCAAACUCCUACGGGAGGCAGCAGUGGGGAAUCUUGCGCAAUGGGCGAAAGCCUGACGCAGCCAUGCCGCGUGGAUGAUGAAGGUCUUAGGAUUGUAAAAUCCUUUCACCGGUGAAGAUAAUGACUGUAGCCGGAGAAGAAGCCCCGGCUAACUUCGUGCCAGCAGCCGCCGUAAAAC
rnacentral:rRNA from 1 species